GGAUGUCCACUGUCCCCCUCACUAUUCCAUUGGUAUUCUUCACAAAGCUUUGUGUUCCAUGGAAGAGGACAACCUUCCUGGAUAAAGGAGACUGUCCCUCAAUCUAAGACUUACAAGGAGUUAAGCUCCCCUGCUAGAACCUCAAAAAAAAAAAAAAAAACCUCUGGAGAUCUGAAGAAACUCUCCCAAGCACUUUUUGACAUGCUACCUG
rnacentral:sRNA from 1 species